CGCGCCGCCGUCCAGCGG
rnacentral:miRNA from 1 species